AUUGAACGCUGGCGGCAUGCCUUACACAUGCAAGUCGAACGGUAACAGGUCUUCGGAUGCUGACGAGUGGCGAACGGGUGAGUAAUACAUCGGAACGUGCCUAGGAGUGGGGGAUAACUACUCGAAAGAGUGGCUAAUACCGCAUGAGAUCUACGGAUGAAAGCAGGGGAUCGCAAGACCUUGUGCUACUAGAGCGGCCGAUGGCAGAUUAGGUAGUUGGUGGGAUAAAAGCUUACCAAGCCGACGAUCUGUAGCUGGUCUGAGAGGACGAUCAGCCACACUGGGACUGAGACACGGCCCAGACUCCUACGGGAGGCAGCAGUGGGGAAUUUUGGACAAUGGGCGCAAGCCUGAUCCAGCAAUGCCGCGUGCAGGAUGAAGGCCUUCGGGUUGUAGACUGCUUUUGUACGGAACGAAAAGCCCUGGGUUAAUACCCUGGGGUCAUGACGGUACCGUAAGAAUAAGCACCGGCUAACUACGUGCCAGCCGCCGCCGUAA
rnacentral:rRNA from 1 species